rnacentral:tRNA from 1 species
GCGUGCGGAGCGCCCGGAGCGCGGCGACCGCUUCGACCGGCCGGAGCCGGUGGAGCCCCGCUCGGGCGAGGCGCUCAUG